rnacentral:rRNA from 1 species
UCGAACGAACCGCAAGGUUAGUGGCGACCGGGUGAGUAACACGUAGUUGACCUGCCCUUCGACGGGGAAUAACAGUCCGAAAGGAUUGCUAAUACCGCAUACAUUUACAGGGUUUAGAAGCCUGUAAAGAAACUUCCGGGGUCGAAGGAGGGGGCUGCGGCCCAUCAGGUAGUUGGUGAGGUAACGGCUCACCAAGCCGACGACGGGUAGGGGGCCUGAGAGGGUGACCCCCCACACUGGGACAGACAUACGGCCCAGACUCCUACGGGAGGCAGCAGUAAGGGAUAUUGCGCAAUGGGCGAAAGCCUGACGCAGCAACGCCGCGUGGAGGAAGAAGGUCUUCGGAUUGUAAACUCCUUUUAGUUGGGACGAGAUAGGACGGUACCAACAGAAUAAGCCUCGGCUAACUACGUGCCAGCAGCCGCGGUAAAACGUAGGAGGCGAGCGUUAUCCGGAUUUACUGGGCUUAAAGGGUGUGCAGGCGGAUGAUUAAAUCCUGC